AUUGAACGCUGGCGGCAGGCCUAAAACAUGCAAGUCGAGCGAGUGGCGGACGGGUGAGAAAUGUCGGGGAAACUGCCUGAUGGAGGGGGAUAACUACUGGAAACGGUAGCUAAUACCGCAUACCAGAGGAUGUGCCCAGAUGGGAUGAGCUAGUAGGUGGGGUAAAGGCUAACCUAGGCGACGAUCCCUAGCUGGUAUGCGAGGAUGAACAGCCACACUGGAACUGAGACACGGUCCAGACUCCUUCGGGAGGCAGCAGUGGGGAAUAUUGCACAAUGGGCGCAAGCCUGAUGCAGCCAUGCCGCGUGUAUGAAGAAGGCCUUCGGGUUGUAAAGUACUUUCAGCGGGGAGGCGUUACCCGCAGAAGAAGCACCGGCUAACUCCGUGCCAGCAGCCGCGGUAAUUC
rnacentral:rRNA from 1 species